rnacentral:rRNA from 1 species
CAGCAGCCGCGGGAAUACGAAGGGUGCAAGCGUUACUCGGAAUUACUGGGCGUAAAGCGUGCGUAGGUGGUGGUUUAAGUCCGUUGUGAAAGCCCUGGGCUCAACCUGGGAAUUGCAGUGGAUACUGGGUCACUAGAGUGUGGUAGAGGAUAGUGGAAUUUCCGGUGUAGCAGUGAAAUGCGUAGAGAUCGGAAGGAACAUCUGUGGCGAAGGCGACUAUCUGGGCCAACACUGACACUGAGGCACGAAAGCGUGGGGAGCAAACAGGAUUAGAGACCCCGGUAGUCCCUGUCUCUUAUAA